ensembl:lncRNA
GCCCCUGCCCCAAGCACCGGCCGGACGCCGGGCCGCAGCGGGGCCGCCGCCGGGUGUGGACAGAGGAGCCGGCCGCCCGCGCCCAUCCCCCGCCCGCGGCGGAAACGUCUCCGGUUUGAAAGAUGCCGCCGCAGCCGCCCCCUGCCCGCCGAGCCACAAAGGGCCGAACCCCCUCCAGCCGCAGCCCUUCUUCCCUAGCUCUCCACAGGUCGCCCCCGGGUCCCCCGCCCGGGGCUGGCGACGCCUCCUCACCCGAGUCCCUCAGUCCUGAGGGUCGCGAUCCAGUGCGGCCGGCGGCGCCGAAGACGCUGGGCCCCAGGAGCGCGGCGGCGGGGGCGUGGCCCUCCCGCGGCGGCUAGGGCCGGGGUCUCGCCUCCGCCUCCCUAAGAGGAAGGCUGGCGCCGCCGCCUCCCCUUCCUUCCGGUUUCCCCUCGCGCCCUCCCUCGGCCGCUCAGUCCUGAGCGGAAAACUGCGUCCUCUUUGGGCGCCGCCGCACGCUCCUCUGGGCCCGACCACCGCCAGACUCCUCCCCCGGGAGCCGCACAGCCCGCCCUCGCCGCCUCGUCAGCCCCGGGGCCGCGAGACGCCUGGCUUGCCGCUCCCACCCCGCCCCUGCGGCGCGCUCUCGCCCUCUUGGCGGGCCCCUUUCGAAACCCGGGGACGCGCGGGCAGCGGACCGUAGCCCAGCCUUCUCCAGGUUUCUUUUCCCGCCGCGCGCGCCUAGGCGCGCGCCUAACAGCACAAACAUCCCACCGGAAAGCCAAAACAAUUGGGUCCGCGCAGGCGCGUGGAGGAAGCGGAAAGAGCAGGAAGGGCGGGGAAGGCGCGAGAAAUUUGCAGGCUGAGUCCGGGAGUGGGAACAAGGUGGACUAGACAACACCAGACCAGGGAAGAAAGAGAGGUGCUGGGAGGCUGAGUGGGCUUUGUCUCCUCGGCCCCUUCUCUCCAAAACACGAUCUCCACUUACCAGAGCACGUUCGGUUUUCCAGUACUCAUCAAGAGAGACUUCAUGUCCUGGUCUCAAGGCCAAGGGAAAACUCAAAGCAGCACCUGAAAUAGCUUGCAGUUCUGCGGAGUGAACCGUUGGCGUGUGGAGGGAAGGCUCUUCAGCUAGUUUGUACUGCAAUGCCUCGGCUUCAGCUCCCCCCAGUAACUCCAAAGGACAGCCUUCAGCUUCAGUAAGCGAGGCUUUUAUAACAGCCGUAGGCUGUGGCCCACUCCGGUGUGGUUAACUUGGUACGGCUUGCUAGCAAGCAGAAAGUCACAGAUCUAUUCUCUAGUUUGAUGGAAGUUAUUCACAGAUCACAAAACUGUCAGAAAUGCCCACAUAGACUUCACCUACCUGCAUAACUUCCAUUCUUGGCACAAGCCCAAUCUGGAGAAUGUACGUGACCAAUUAUAAACUAAAUGCACACAUGUUACUGAAGAGCUUCUUUAGGCCAGAUAAAUCAACUGAAUACACACCAAGAUAUGUAUGUCUGGGAUUACGGCAGAAUCUAGAAACUAAUUCAAAGCAUCUUUUAUUAACUGUUCAGUAUGCUCUCACUCUGCUUAGUCUGACUAAAUGUCUGUUUUUGAUACUUAAGAUUCAAAUCAUUUAACAGGUAGUUGUGUUCCUACUCUGUGCCAGGCUGGAUCCUGGAGAUGCAAAGCCUAAACAAGAAGGCAGAAACAAAAAAAGGGUUUGUGUUUCCUCCUCUAGAAGACAGAAUCAUUUAAAAUUUUUUUAAGGCGAAUAUCUGUUUAUUUUUAUUUAUUUAUUUUAGCCUCACCGCGCUGGCAUGUGGGAUCCUAGUUCCUGACAAGGGAUGGAAUCCCCCUACCCCAACCCCGCAUUGGUAGCAAGGAGUCUUCACCACUGGACCAGAAGGGAAGUCCCCAGGAAGAGAAUAUCUUGAUAAGACUUUAGAAAAAUAAUUCUGAAGCAUGGUGCAUAUUGGAUUGAAUCUGAGGUUACUAGUUAGGAGGCUGUAAAAAUAAUCCAGACAGGAGGUGGAGAGAGUCUGAACUAAUGUGAGGAUAGUGAAACAGAGUUGGACUUAAAACUAGCUAGAUACAAUAUAUAAGAUUCAGGUACUAAGAGGAUGAGGGGAAAUAAGAAGUGAAGGAUGACUGAGUUUUCCGGUUAGGGUGACUAGAUAGUAAUAUCAGUAUAGGAAAAGUAGCUAAUUGUCAGGGUAAGAGAGUUCUAAAAGGUAUCAUUUUAAUAGCUGUACAGUUAGGAAUGCAUAUGGCUGCGAAUAAAAAAAUUCUGCAGUGGCUUAAAGAAGGGUCUGUUUAGUCACAUAAACCUGAAGGUAGUUGGUUAUCCUUGAUUCAACAGCUCUAGAAAAGUAGAGCCAAAUGUCUAUGAUUCUUUUAACAUUUCUCUCACAAUUGCAAGAUGGCUGCAACAGUUUUAGCCUUUACAUAGUUAGUUGUCAGAGGCAGGAAUAUAGGGAAAGGAAUGGCUUCAGCCAUCUUUUUCUUUUUUUCCCAAGAAAGUAAAAGCUUUCCCAGGAUAAUACUCCAUACCCCAACUCAGCAGACUUUCACAUACAUCUCACUUUCUAGAACUGUAAUUCAGCCAACUAUAGCUGUGAAGACUUAGAUUUUCCAAGGUCUAGCAAAAGCCUAUUUGGGUCAGACAAGUAGCAAUCUGCUACUUAGUUAAUACUUACAGCAUUACUUUAUAACAUUUAAAAGACUGUGGGAUGGCAGGC